GAAAUGGCUUAAAGUGCCAAAUCAGCAACUAAGGAAAACAACAUUUCUUUCAAAGGAAUUCUAGUUUGAAUUUCUUUCAAAUAAAAAAACAAAACAGGGGAACUUUAAAUGCACAUUUGUCUUGUGGAAGAAAAAUCGGCAGUAACACGCAGAGCUACAUGCCACCAUGAGAGUCACACUGAAAGACAACUGUGAUCAAGCAAGUAUCUCUUACACCCACUUAAACUGAUCAGAUAAACAUGGUUGAACCCAGCAUUUUUGCUGUUAGCUAUAUCCAUUUUAGGAAACUAUUUAAAUGACAUGUGCCUUUUCAAAGUUGUCAUAUUAGUGACCAUUAAAAAAGGAGACUCACUUGGACAGAUCCAUUAAGUGUCCUUAAAAAUGUGGAUGAUUCUAAAUUUAGUGUUCGAAGAAGGUUAAAUUUAAAGCAGUAGCUGAUAAAGUGAACUGUUUUCUAAAAUUAUUAGGAAAAUGCAAGUCUGAAAGAGUGGUAGCACGAAGAACUAAGUCUAGAAACAAAUGUAAUGGAAAAUUGGUUUCAGCAGGUUGGAAUCACAAAACAUUUUUCUUUCUCAACACCUGAAGUGCAUGUAGUAUGCUGGCCGUUAAGAGAGUCCCCCCCCAUGGAUGAAUGAAUUUCAACUAUGAAAUUGUAACUGGGUGGAUAUUCACCUACAAAACUGCCUUGUGUGAGGCAGUGAAGGAGGCCUAGAAGGUAUGGAGAAAACUCAGUAUGAUACAGCUGAAAUCAGAGCGUUUUACAACAAUCUUGGACUUCAUCCGAACAUUGACCAUCGAUAGCUGUGAAGCUUAUCAGAAUCAGAUUUAUUUGCCAAAUAUCUUAACACAAGGAAAUUUGGUUCUAGUCGAUGGCGUCGCUCACAUUAGACAGACAGUAUACGGACAAUGAACAUAUAAUUUACAGACAAUAUACAAGCUGUAUCACAACAUUGUUGCUCCCUAGCACAACAGUAAACCUGAUACGCAGAGCCCUAUCACUUUUUCAGAGCAUGACGUGAGAAGAGUGAACAUCCGAAAGGCAGCAGGACCAGAUGGCAUCUCUGGAAGGGUCCUUAAAGCCUCUACUGGCAGACUAGCUCUGGUGUUCUCAGAUAUAUUUAACUCAUCACUGUUCCAAGUCAGAAUACAGACAUGUUUCAAAAAGUCCAUCGUCAUCCCCAUUCCGAAGAAAACUCACUCAGCAUAUCAAAAUUACUGCCUGGUCGCACUCACCUCAAUAGUACAGUAAAAGCUUUGAAAGGCUACUCAAUGAUAUGCUCCACAAUGCCCGAUACACUGACCCCACUAUAAUUUGCCUACCAAUCCAACAGAUCUACAGAUGAUACACUCGCCCUCAUCCUGUACACUAUUUUUGCCCACUUAAAAAAUAGGAAGGGGAACUAGUUGUGGAUUCUAUUCAUUGAUUAUAAACUACACUAGCAGACAACUAAGGACUUAGUAAUCGGGAUGCCCAAAAGGCUGAAUGAUGAAGAAAUAAAUCGUUCAUCAACAUCAUCUGGUUCCUGACCUCAGUAUGUUGUAGUUCCUAACUGGUUUUAACACAUUGUCUUAAACUCUAAAAUGUUCUGUAGCACACACGUUAGCAGAAGAUCGAGGAGGCUGUGCAUAACAUCCACUGCACCAGACGACAUGAUCUGGAAACUCCUUCCUGCAAGAGGGAAUACCUCUGGUCUAGUACCUCCUAUUUUAAUGGUGAAACAACAAAAAAAUUACACACAGAAACUCCCAAGGUGUGUUCUGCGCCUCCUACUGUGCUCCCUUUACACUUUGAUUAUGUAGUCACAUUCACUUUAAGCGGAAUCGUCAAGUUUGCUAACAAAACAGUCAUGGCGGACCAGCGGGUAUUUGAGACUUGAAUAAGUCUAACAGAGGGUGAACAUCAUCUACCUCUGGGGGGUAUACCAUCAAGGUUCCUAUGGAAAUCCAGGCUUAUUGGGUUCCAUUACUGGGCUUAUCAUAUUCCCCACUCACUAAUUAUGGUAAUUUAUGCUUCUGAACUAGCCUGCACCAAAAUAAAUAAGUCCCACGUGGCGGAAACAAAA